CUUGCAGACAAAAUUGCAGCUUCUAGUUACUAUGUGGUUGUUCCGAACUUCUUUUAUGGUGAACCCUAUGAUCCUCAGAAUACUAAUAGACCUUUAGGAAUUGAGAGUUAGUGAUGGCGUGGGCGUAAAGUCUUUAAUGCAACCUGUGUUAGUGAUUAGAUAAAUAAAAUAAAAUAGAAUAGAAGUUACUCACAUAAAUGUUUGAUAAGCAAUAAGCAAUAAGCUACUUCAGACCUGUCUCAGCUGCCAAUAAGUUUUUCUCAUCAAAUGGUUUUCCUUGCCCAAGUCUCUAGAAUCCUCCUGACCACUUUGUAAAGAUUAUUAACAAGGAUUUUGAACAGGGUUGGAUCAAAAAAUUAAAAAGAAGAGAUCUGUUGGAGCUGUAGGAAACAGAGUCAUGACUGGUGAAAGAGAUGUGAAACGAUUUGCUCUUCCAAAGGCAAAUGCUGAUUCGAAGAUGCGUUUUUAUGAUACAUAGGGUUUCAGAUUGAAGCCACUUCCUGGAUCUAGUGGAAUCAACAAGUCUGGAGGCUCUUCUGAGCCUUCUACUAUUGGGGUGCGUAAUAUGCUUGCAAGUGAGCAAGAAUGUGGAUCUCUUCAUAGGGACCAUAUAGCUGAGCAGAAAGUAGUGGCAAAGGGAAGCAACAGGUUUUUUGCUCAUCUUGACAUUGCCAUGUUCUAAUAUAUGACUACAAUCUAGUUGCUGAAGAAUUCAAU